GUAGUUGUCGGUCUCUUGUGAACCCGCAUGCUCUUGCCGUAUUGGAGUAGGCCGGUUCCUUCUAGAUUCAUUGCUAUGUCCCUGGCCAGUAGCUUGCCUCAACUCUUGUCUCAUCUCCUCACGGAGUUCCUUCAUGCUAGCCUUGAGCAUAUCAGCCAUCGUAGAGAUCAUAGUUUGAUUCAUUUGCUCAGUCAUUUGCUCCCUCAGCAUCUUGUUCUUCCUUACUAGCUCGGCUUCUUCUUCUGAUUCUUUUCCCAU
rnacentral:lncRNA from 1 species